AGGGGCUGCGGGUUCCCCCGGGCUUCCCUGCCCCGCGCCUGCCCGCCGGGCGCUUCUCCCCCUCCAGGACCGCGGCCCACGUCCCCACUCGAGCCCGAGCCCGCGCCCACGCGCGGGGGCCGCUUCCUGCGAGGAGGCGGGGACAGGUGUCCGCGGGCGCAAACAGCGGAGUUUCGUGCGCCUAUUUUUUGGUAAAAGUAGAGGCGAUGCGUUGUUGACAUAUUUAGUGGUUAAAAACCUAUUGCCAAAUUCUCAACAGAUUCCAGAAUUUUUUAAAGUUCACAACACGAGAGUGGACGAAAUGUCGGAGCUUUUCCUCAUAUCCAGAAAUGUGGCCUCUGCUUCCCACUCGGGCCCUGCGGUGCAGACGGGUUCAGGGCGGCGAGGACUGAGCCAGGAGCGCCGAGAGUUCCAGCUGCUCCCAGGCUGGGUUCUAAUUAACGCUGGACCCCUGCUGAGAUGGAAUCUCACUCUGUCGCCCAGGCUGGAAUGCACUGGUGCAAUCUCGGCUCACUGCGAUCUCUGCGUCCUGGGUUCAAGCAAUUCUCCUG
rnacentral:lncRNA from 1 species